rnacentral:lncRNA from 1 species
UUCUCGUUUGAAUUGUUUUACAUUGUCAUAUCGGGGCCUUUGUGGUAUGGGCUAUGCUCAUUGUUGAAGGCUGUACAGUGACCUAUAGUUGUUAAUGUCUGUGUCAUUUUGGUCUCUUGUGGACAGCUGUCUCAUUGGCAAUCAUAGACAUACCACAUCUUCUUUUAAUAUAUCAAUAAGCAUUUGAAUCACAGGCACUUGUUUCUAUCCAUUGGAAGACCCACUAUCAACGUAUAUUUUCGAGAAGGUACCCAAGUAAUUUUUUCACCUCUCCGCUUAAAACCAUUAUUUCUGGUAAAUAUAUACGUUAAUAGUGGGUCUUCAAAUGGAUAGAAACAAGUGCCUGUGAUUUGAAUUUAUACCAAUAUCAAGGGUACAACUGAUAUGUCACCUGGGUAAGUAAGGUACAUGUACCUAUAGAACAAGUCAAUUAUCCAAUAAUCUUAAAAACUAUAGCACAGUUUGUAAUUAUUCCGUGACAAUAAACAAUAAUUUGGUUUGCACGACACUUUGACCAUGUCCCCUCCUUUUUAAAUAAGGUUUUGGGAAUAAAAUAUAUUGGGCAUGCAUCUAUCAGAUUAAUCAUAAAAAGUAAAUUGAUUGUGUAAGGUUAUGUAAUAUAUAAUGAUCUAUAUUAAAGUAAUGCGGUUACCAAAUCGAAAAUCAUGUUGAAUUUGAAGUGUGUUCUUCUUUUGGGAUUUGAAAAUCCCGCAACAUGACGACUUAAACAUUGCUAUAAUAGAAAACACUCGAGACAACCGAAAGGUGCACGGUCGCACUAAAUACCAAUAAUAUGUUAUUAAGCCAAAUAAAAUAAUGUAUCCUAAUUGAUAGAUUGAUAUGAUGCGUAUAUAAUAUAAUUGUUUAAAAGAUGUGAAUAACAGAAUAAAUGACAGACACAUG